AGGGCCGCGGUAAUCUGACCGUGCGAAGGUAGCAUAAUCAUUUGUCUCUUAAUUGGGGGCUGGUAUGAACGGUUGGAUGAGGGACCAAGUGUCUCGAGAUUAUAGUUUGAAUUUUACUUUUAAGUGAAAAGGCUUAAGUUUUAUUAAGUGAAGAUAAGACCCUAUAAAACUUACAUAGAAGUGGGUUACGACUGGUCUGAUGGGGUUUAGGACGGCGUAAUUCAUUUUGUAUUUUGUUGGGGCGACAGUAAUAGAAGCGUAUCUGUUAUUUUUAAUAAGUUAGUGAUAAUUAGUGAGUGACCCUUUAAUAUGGAUCAAAAGAUUAAGUUACUUUAGGGAUAACAGCGUAAUUCUCUUUGAGAGAUCUAAUCGACAAGAGUAGUUGCGACCUCGAUGUUGAAUUAAAAUUUCUACUAAGUGCAGGAGCUUGGUUAGAGAAGUCUGUUCGACUUUUAAAAUUUU
rnacentral:rRNA from 1 species